AGAGCUCAGCUGGUAGAGCAGAGGACUGAAAAUCCUCGUGUCAAAGUUACAAAU
rnacentral:tRNA from 1 species